AACGCACAUUGCGCUCCUUUGGAUUUAUCCUGGGAGCAUGCCUGUUUGACAACAUUGUAUAAGAUCUUUUGGAAAAUAUUUUUUAUUUUAGCCAAUUUGAUCAAAUCUUUGUGAUUCAUUUCCCAUUUUUUUUGGGGGAGUCUCACGUAACACAAUUGAAAGUCUAGAAAACUUAUUGCUUGAUGAUGUAAUAGUAACCUUUUAUCAUUGUCGCAUAUUCUAUGUCAACAUUUCAACUAUCAGUCUUUUUUAAGAUUUGAUUGUAGUUUUUUCAAUAAAACUAACUCACAAGUUGUUGUCAAAUCAGGUAGGAUUACCCGCUGAACUUAA
rnacentral:misc_RNA from 1 species